AUGCAUGUCUCAGUGUACACUUCCACACAGUGGGUCUGUGAAUGGCUCCUUACAUCAGCAGUCAUCUCCGUGAUAGAGUGUGGAUGGCACCACCCUGCCAGGUGCUCACUUGGACAUCCUCCAAAACCUAGUGGCUAAUACACGUUCGCCCAGGUCUGCCACAUCACGGCCUUGCCAGAUCCAAACCCUGGCUUGACCAGCGGUGGAUUGCACCCAGCCGAUUUGAAGACCAGCGCCUGGAAAUGGCAGCGUGUUUGUGGUUGACUCAGGCUGGUCCCUCUGUGGACACCUGCGCUGGCAGAGUGGUGGCUUCGGCCACAGCAUUGCUUGAUCACACGAACUUCUGAUCUAUCAGCCUUGAUGGUGGUGUAGUGGACCACCAUGGCAGUGACGGAUAACGGAGAAUCAGGGUUCGAUUCCGGAGAGGGAGCCUGAGAGAUGGCUACCACUUCUAAGGAGGGCAGCAGGCACGCAAAUUGCCCAAUGCUGAGACAUUCUCUGGUGAGGCAGCGACGAACUGCAGCAAUUCCGCCUGUCCUUGUGACCGGUGGAACUUGGAAUGGAUGCAAUCCAAACACAGUGAUGAGUAUCAACUGGAGGGCAAGUCUGGUGCCAGCAGCUGCGGUAAUUCCAGCUCCAAGAGCGUAUACUGAUAUUGCUGCUGUUAAAACACUUGUAGUCUGAUGCUGGGUUGCAGGUCUGCUGGGUGGCGGUGGUGGGCUGUCUGCCUCGUUCUGCCCCUCGGGGUGGGGUGGGGUGGGUGGUUUGCUGCCGAUACAACCCCCAGCAGUAUGUUCCUGCACCCAAACUGAGGAUGGUACGAACUGCCCCUGCUCCAAGUCUCCUUCAGUGGGGACCGAUGCGGUUGCAUACCCAACGCCUGUGAUCUUGACGGUUCAGGGGCAGGGCCCCGUGCCCUGCAUCCAUCCCUCGUCAACCACCGGGGUCUACCAUCGUUGACACCCUGGAGAACUCAGUGUGCCCAACGCAUCCACAUCGGCUGGAUGCACGUCCAUGGAAUGUCACAGCAUUGACCAGAUGCGGCUAUGGAGUUGUGCUGGCCUUGGUGCCCAUCCUGGGCAACCUGCCGUCUGCUGGUACCCUCGGUCCGUGGGUGUGGGUCUGUUCUGCCCUCGGGUGGCUCCGGCCCCAUUCACGCCGUGGGAACCCAGUGGCGGCGAUCACUCUCGAGGGGACUGCUCGGGGUGGAAGGUAUUGCAACGCCAGAGGUGAAAUUCUCAGAUCGCUGCAAGACCAACUGCGGCGAAGGCGUUCUGCAAGUGCAUGUUCGUCGAUCAAGAAUGUGAGUGUGGGGAGCGAAGAUGAUCAGACACCGUCGUAGUCCACAACUGUGAACCAUGCCAGCUCGGCGUUGAGGGUGCUACUAUCCAGCACACCCCCAGCGCCAUGCCCCCUAAAACGAGAAAUCUGAAGCCUUCGGGUUCAGGGGGGAGUACUGUCGCAAGGCUGAAACUUAAAGGAAUUGACGGAAUGGCACCACAAGGCGUGGAGUAUGCGGCUUAAUUUGACUCAACACGGGGAAUGUUACCAGGUCAGGACGUUGCUGGGAUGGACAGAUUGAGAGCUCUUUCUUGAUCCUUCGGAUGGUGGUGCAUGGCCGCUCCUGAUUGGUGGAGUGAUUUGUCUGGUUGAUUCCGAUAACGAGUGAGACAUCUGCCUCCCAAUAGCCCCAGCCUCGUACUUGUAGGGUGGCUGUGGGUGCCCUGGGCUGGGUUCGCCUGGUUCCAGGCCCCACGGUUCUGCCUGAGAGGCCCUGGGUUCAGCUUCUCUGAGGUGCUGUGUACGCUACCAAGUGCAUGCAUGCUAGAGCCAACAGCAGGUCUGUGAUGCUCCCAGAUGUCCUGGGCCGCACGCGCACUACAUUGAUCUGGUGAAUGUGUUCUGCACUCCCUUUGUGGAGGCCUGCCUGGAAGUGGGUGGGAAACCCCUGGAGCCCAUUGAUCGUACUGGGGAUAGAUGAUUGCAACUGUCUGCCUUGAACGAGGAAUGCCUAGUAUGCGCAGGUCAUCAGCCUGCACCGAUUGUGUCCCUGCCAUUUGUACACACCGCCCGUCGUUGCUACCGAUGGUGACAGGAUAGAACCAUCAGGAGGGUCGCCAGCCAUGUCCCCAUGGCCGGGUCCAAAAUUGGGUGAUGUCCUGCCACUAGAGGAAGCAAAA
rnacentral:rRNA from 1 species